GUCUUCAUCUUCCCUUCCUGUCCCAGCCGAUUGGCUGCUCCCUUUGAUGGCAUGCCCUCUCUGCAGCGACGAGGUCGUGACCGCCUUCGCGAGGACUAGUAACCAGGCUGGUCAUGGUUUCUACAAGUGCAUUCGCUAUGACGCCCUUCAGUGACGUUUCUUUGAGUUCCAGCGCGCGUACUGCAGGAGGAUGACCCACGAGCAGAUCCUUGCUGCGCAGCAUCAAGCGGGAUGGCACCCAGCGGGGCAUGGAUUUGCAGUCCAGCACGGCAACGGGGAUGCCCAGAUUGUUCCCGCUGCCAAACUAUAUGCCUUGCCCAACGAAUCAAAACUAAGUCCCAGCUCAGGUUUAACGACGCUCUUAUCAGGUUGCUCUGCAUACUUGCGGAUUGAAAUUUCUAGUGCGCUCAUCCUCGACGGGCAAGCCACCCGGUCAGGUGGUGCACUUCCAAGCUGGAGCCUGCAUAUUAAGAAGCAAAACGGGGGAAUGUAGUUAAUUUCUGCAUUUUUUUUUCAGAAUCCAGCGAAAUGAUUUUUCUGUCUUUUUUCGUUUUCAUAUUUUUAGAUUUGGAUUUUGUUCUUAGUUCUAUAGCAUACAAAUAAACAAUGGACACCGGGGAUGUUUUCCCAACCCCACCCCAGAGACGAUGGCCCCUGUGAUGCUUGCUAAUAUCUAUAUUCAUUUUUCAUGUUUCUUUUUAGUUUCUGUCUCAGUUCAAUAAUUUUUGGAAACAGAAUAACAGUCUUGGUCAUUUUAAUCUACAUCUGAAGGCAAGUGCACUACCACGAUAUUGGGCCUGACUUUUUAAUUCAUUUCCCCAGAAACCAUUCGACCUGACAGCAGACGUACUUCUGAAUCACUUUUUGCAUUGAGACAUGUAUGUAUGGUACGCAUUUAACAGUAAUUUUGCAGUGCAAGGUGCAAACAGCAGAGAGGAGUUUUCACCUUUUUGUCCAACCGGGGGCUUGUGGAUUCACUCUGCCUGUUGAUUGAGCAGACCUCGUUGGAGAUUCAGCUCGUAAAGCAUGGCCACCUUGUUGCGUUGCCGCUGCUGCUCCUACAUCCUCCAUUUGAGUCAGCUCAGUGACGCCAUCGACCUCACCCACAUCCUCAGUCGCACUCCCCUUCUCCAGCAGAAAAAGUAGUGGAACUGGAUCUGGGUUGUAAGGCUGUCCGCAAAUUCCUCACGCACGGGGAACCUACAAUACGAACGGCGAGUCGCCGGCAAAAGGAUUAGAUAUCUAGGAUCGAACCACGCCGCCGGCGCUUAUGUAGAACAGCAAUUUUUGCACAGAUCUGGCCGGGAACCAACCUGUCAACAGCGUCAAUUAGAAACUCCAUACCCUCCCCCUCCAUCACUGGUUAGUCCGUCGUCGGAGCACGGUCGCCGCCGCAACCCGGUUGGCCGGCCUCCCGCUACGCUCUCCCUUUUUUCCCGGUGACCAGGCUCCAGGGUACCGCGGCGGCGAGGGGACCCUCUAGGACGAACCAGGAGAUAGUGGAGGACAAAUCUACCUUUUUUUUUUCAUUUCAUGCCGCACGACCGACAGGCGGCGUAAAUUGCUACCGGCCACACGGACCCAUUAUCUGAUCCUUGGCCCAGAAUAAAAAAGCAAACGUCCUGGUUGGAAAGCCGACGACCUGGUCCACGGCCCAUACCCAGCCGCCGCGACGUCCGUCAGGCCGCGCCCCGCCGUCCCCGUCUUGCGUACUGUUUCCUACCGUAUUUGUUGGUUUCUUCUGUUUCUCCUUGCUCGUAUCUGACAAGCCAGCUGGAUUUGUUCACAUCCCAAGACCAAAACAAACGAGCCAGAUUAUGGGAGCAGCUGAGCCCGGGCUCCAAAACACCCCUUCCGGCAAGAACUCACAUCUUUUAAGCAGAUUACCUAAAGUGCGGUGAAGAUGGAGGCAAGAUGUGCGGGCUUAAAAGCACGUUGUGUCAGGAGCAGCUCACAGGGUGGCUAUGUUCAAGAACAACCUGGUACUUCAUCUGAUUCUAUUGCAGACAAUGAGGGGAUGGACAUGGAUCUGGAUCAUGCUGGUAAAGUUGCCGAAGAUUGUUCCCUACCACGGUUCACCGUAGGAGAUAUGGAUGGAGGUGGUGCUCAACAAAUAGCUUCCGUGGGAGCGGGAGUUUGUAGCUUGUGACCAGGUCGGAAUUUAAGGCGCUCAUGCCGCAUGAUGACAGUGAAGGGGAAGUGUCUCUCACUGAUGACGGUGUUGCUUUCUUCCUGCGUUAAAUGUUUGCUGAAGCAGUUGGAUUCAGUGGGGGAUGCUCAAUUCCAGGGGCAAGCAAUGUAGCUGGUGUGUCUGCAAGUCACAAGAGUGUAUCAACAGUCAUCCAGCGCAUGCUAAUAAAUUAUAGGUUUAUGCAUAUCUUAAAUUACUGACA